GAGGGGGUAGCUCAGCUGGAUUCAGAGCAGCAGCCUUCUAAGCCGCCGGUCGCGGGUUCGAGUCCCGCCCCCCUCGCCA
rnacentral:tRNA from 2 species